UACGUAGGGGGCUAGCGUUGUCCGGAAUCAUUGGGCGUAAAGCGCGUGUAGGCGGUGCGGUAAGUCCGCUGUGAAAGUCGGGGGCUCAACCCUCGAAAGCCGGUGGAUACUGUCGGGCUAGAGUACGGAAGAGGCGAGUGGAAUUCCUGGUGUAGCGGUGGAAUGCGCAGAUAUCGGGAAGAACACCCGUGGCGAAGGCGGCUCUCUGGGACGGUACUGACGCUGAGACGCGAAAGCGUGGGGAGCGAACAGG
rnacentral:rRNA from 1 species